rnacentral:rRNA from 1 species
UACGGAGGGUGCGAGCGUUGUCCGGAAUCACUGGGCGUAAAGGGCGCGUAGGCGGCGUGACAAGUCACUUGUGAAAUCUCCGGGCUUAACUCGGAGCGGCCAAGUGAUACUGUCGUGCUAGAGUGCGGAAGGGGCUACUGGAAUUCUCGGUGUAGCGGUGAAAUGCGUAGAUAUCGAGAGGAACACCUGCGGCGAAGGCGGGUAGCUGGGCCGACACUGACGCUGAGGCGCGAAAGCGUGGGGAGCAAACAGG